CUGGCUGUGUGCCUAAUACAUGCAUGUCGAGCGGAGUUCUUUUAGGACUUAGCGGCGAAUGGGUGAGUAACACGUACUUAACGUACCUUUUAGCUUGGAAUAACGGUGAGAAAUUAUCGCUAAUGCCGGAUACUCUUUUAUUUCACAUGAGAUUUAAAUAAAAGGACCUUCAAAGUUUCACUAAAGGAUCGGGGUGCGGAACAUUAGCUAGUUGGUAGGGUAAAGGCCUACCAAGGCGAUGAUGUUUAGCGGGGUUGAGAGACUGAUCCGCCACACUGGGACUGAGAUACGGCCCAGACUCCUACGGGAGGCAGCAGUAGGGAAUUUUGCACAAUGGGCGAAAGCCUGAUUGAGCGACACAGCGUGCAGGAUGAAGGCCUUCGGGUUGUAAACUGCUGUUAUAAGGGAAGAAAAAAUAUUAUAAGAAAAGAUAAUAUCUUGACGGUACCUUAUCAGAAAGCA
rnacentral:rRNA from 2 species